GGAGAGAGAGAUCUAAGGAAGCCAUCUUCACUAUCAGACCGGUCUCCCUCCAUCUUCCGGUUCCACAUAGUUGUAGAAACCUACGCUGUAAUAGUUCUUCAUCGCAUGAGAGGAGAAUAGAGGCAACCCCAUUACCCUCAAAGUGUUCGGCAAAGUGCUAAGAAAAAAGAGGCCAACCCCAUCACCCUCAAAGUGUUCGACAAAAUGCUUGGCUUGGAGGCAUGGUUUAUAAAGAUAAUUUUUGACCUUAACAUAGUCCAAGUUUGUUUUGGAUUGUGUUUAUCAGUGUACAUCUUACAGGUAUACUUUGUCUCAAAGCUAUUCAAUUACUUGAUUACUAUCAGGUUUAAUUGUAAAGAAAGUAAAGUUGAGUUUUUGGAUUUUAAGGGGGAAUUACUUAUGAAGAUUGUGCAGGCCAUAAGGGUACAAUUGGACCCGAUGAUGUGCAAGUAAGACAUAUCAGUUGCUGAAGAAUUGGGAUCCUUUUCUAAUGUUGGACUAUUUUUCAUGUUUUGAGACUGUCACAUACAUGUUGCAGGAGGCAUUACUCAUUAAGAUUGUGCAGGCCAUAAGGGUCCAAUUGGACUCGGUACUGUGCAGUGGAUGACAGCAGGUAGAGGAAUCAUCCAACCCUGAAAUGUCUGCAAGAAGAAAAACUCAAAAUGAUUACAGCUUUGGGUCAAUUUAUCCUCCAAGGUCAAAAUGUCAGAACUCUUCUUUUUUUUGAAGGGGAUCUUAAAAGUAGAAGUUCUCAAAUCAAUGAUUCCAUCAAAAGUUCAUUCUCUUGGGCAUAUAAGCUGCACUUUUGGGAGAUCUAGGGUACCAUGGAAAAGAAAGAACACUGACAGGGGCUUGAAAACAACUUUAUGUUGCUGUUUGGGACCAUGAUUUAAUUUUGCCUUAAGUUUAAAAAUGAGAUUACAUCAUACAAAGAUACAAUUGUAUAAAGUAAUGAAGAUUUCCAACCAUGAGAAGUGGAAGCA